rnacentral:rRNA from 12 species
AGCAGCCGCACUGGAAUGCAAGUGUCCAGUAAUGUUUGAUCUCAGAAGCUAAGCAAGGCUGUGCCUGGUUAGUACUUGGAUGGGAGACCAACUUGGAAGACCAGGGGCUGCUA